AGGUCAUCAGCUUGGAGGACACUGUUCAUGACACUCCAGACCCAGAGCUAAUAGAAUCCCAACCAGUUCCAGAAAUAAUUAAAAUCCAGAGUGAGGACGACAUUGAUCAUCCUGCAGCCAUCACUUAUCAUGUCUGUUUGAAACAGCUCGCAGAGAAUCUGUUGCUCCCAAUCCCAAUGUGUACAGUGAAAGACCCACUGACAAUGGUGGGAUGUCGGGCCCCUGGACCAUUCCAGAUCCAGACCAAGUCCAGAGGAGCAGUCAUCAUGCAAUGGAUCUGUCCAAACAAUCAUUGUGUGUGGCAAUGAAACUCCCAGCCUACUUUCAAGUACGGGAUGCAAGCUGGGGACUUCCUUUUGGCAUCAAAUAUAUUACUAUCUGGCAACAAUUAUGCCAAAGUUGCAUUGCUCUUCAAGUUUAUGAAUAUGGGAAUAGUGGAGCGGACAACCUUCUUUAAAAUACAGGACACAUACUGUGUUGAUCCCAUCAAAGACUUCUGGAUUAGCAACAGAGCAGAAGUAGUUUCCAGGCUGCAGUCAAAGGACAAUGUUGUAGUACUUGUCCUGGGUUUUGUUCAUGGAAAAUGACACCAAAGAAAUCCUGUCAAUAGUCAACAUUGACAAGCGAGACACGCAGAGGAAUUCUGUGAUUAUGGAGAGGGAAGGUUUUAUCAGGAGUUUCGACCAGCUCCACCAGGAGGUUAAACUU